UAUUUCAAGAAAGCUUUUCCGGUCUCUCUACUGAACCUUCUUCAGGACGGUGAGGUGUAGCAGGAUUAGACCACAUGCCAGGUGACUCCUGCUGUGCUCAGCCGGACUAAGGUCCGACUCUGUGACCUUGUGGACUGCAGCCCACCAGGCUCCUCUGUCCAUGGCAUUCUCCAGGGCCUGGAGCUGUCCCUUUGCAAAGUCAGAGGAGAUAAGGCCUUGGCUCCCAGUGCCCGGGGAGAAGAUGGGCCCGAACUGUCAUCUGACUCCUCGUUGUGAAACCUGCAGAUGUAAUUCAUGUACCCACUGAGCAGCCUAAGAACGAGGCUACUUCCUGUCUGCAUCCCUUCAGCAGACUGCCUGCCAUACCCAUCACAUUCUGGUUUAACGCUUGCUCAAUAGUCAAACCGUUUUCUUUCUCUUCUAUCAUCAUGGAGAGGUUUUCGGCCUUAGGAGCAGAUUUUGUUUUCAAUCUCUUCCCCACACUUUGCACAGCACCGGGAAUGAAUCUCAUGUCAGGGACAGGCAGAGACACGAAUCCUCCUAUUGACCCGAAGAAGGCAGUCCAGGCCCAGCGGUCUGCGGCUUCUCUCCCAAAGUUUUCAGCUGCUGAUUUUUUUUUAAGAUUGAUUUAUUUAUUUUUGGCUGUGCUGGGUCUUCAUUGCUGUGUGGGGGCUUUUCUCUGUGGUGAGCGGGAGCUGCUCUCUGGUUGCCGUGCGUGGGUCUCUCAUUGUGGUGGCUGCUCUUGUGGUGGAGCCCCGGUUCUGGGGCUUCAGCAGUUGCGGCACAUGGGCUCAGCAGUUGCAGUUUUUGGUCUCUAGCUCACAGGCUCAGUAGUUGUGGUGCAUGGGCUUAGUUCCACAUGCUCCUUGGCAUGUGGAAUCUUCCCAGAUCAGGGACAAAAUGCAGUCUCCUGCAUUGGCAGGUGGAUUCCUACCCACUGGCAGUGGUGGUUUAGUCCCUAAGUCGUGUCUGAUUCUUGUGACCCCAUGAACUGUAGCUCGCCAGGCUCCUCUGUCCAUAGGAUUUUCCAAUCAAGAAUGCUGGAGUGGGUUGCCAUUUCCUUCUCCAGGGUAUCUUCCCAACCCGGGGAUCAAACCUGAGUCUAAUACACUGCAGGCAGAUUCUUUACCGACUGAGCUACCAGGGAAGCCCAGGGGCCACCAGGGAAGCCCCCAGCUGCUGAAUUUCUUACUUGUGGGUUUUGAAUUGUAGGCAGAACAUGCUCUGUGAGCAUCAAAAUAUUGAGCCUAAGUCUACAGGAACGGAAUUUUGUAAAUGUCCCAAGAUGGUUGCUGAUGGCCCAUGUGUUUUGAGUCCAUCUCCCACCUGAGAGGCCAGGUGGCCGGUGAAAGUCCUAGGAAUUGUGUCACUCCACGUGGCACCAGAUCCCUUGCUACCUCGUCCCUGUGCAGCCUGCCCUUGGCUGUGGCUGUCCUCUGAGCAAAACAGUGAAAUCAAAGAGGCCCUU
ensembl:lncRNA